UCCCUUAGUGUCUCAGUGUCGGCCAUAAUGUCUCCCAAUGCCCCUUAGUGUCUCAGUGUCGGCCAUAAUGUCUCCCAAUGCCCCUUAGUGUCUCAGUGUAUGUCUCCUUGCAGCCUUUCCCCCCAUCCCUUACUUCCCUGAGCUGUAGGCUGUCUCUGCAGGGUGGGAGUUGCUGUCUGGACUCUCUGUAGCUGCACCCCUGCAGAUCAGUGAGUAUAGAUAGGCAGGGAGGGAUAUGCUG